ensembl:snRNA U1 U1 spliceosomal RNA
CUACUUACGUGGCAGGAGAGAUACCAUAAUCAUGAAGGUGGGUUUCUCAGCGUGAGGCUUAUCCAUUGUAUUGUGGGUGUGUUGACCCCUGUACUUUUCCUAAAUGUAGGAAGCUUGACUACACAAUCUGUGAUAAUAGGGGACUAUGUUCAUGCUUUCUCCUG